rnacentral:lncRNA from 1 species
AGCUACACUAACAGAUACUUGGCACCUGGCUUUGUUCAGGUGUAAUCUGCCCCGGGUGCUGAGAGGCAGUGGGAAAUCACAGUGUGUAAGGGAACGGGUUCAACUCAAGCGUCUCAUCUGCUGUGAAGCCUUUUUGUGACUCCUCCCAGAGCGGCCAUGUUGCACAUCUCCAGGGUAUCACUCACGCUGGACUCUAAAGGCUGCCAAUCACAUGGAAAAUCAUGUACAUCAUCACCCUAGAGGUUGCAAUAGAGAGCACCAUAUGCCAUCCUAAGUGAGCUUGAAUCCUCUCCCAUUAUGAGUACAAUCUGGUACCAUAUCUGUCUCCUCCUCCAGACAUUAAGGCAAGCUCUUUAAUGUAAGGGUCGUGUCUUAUAUUGAGUGAACAGUCAGAGGAAGUCUUUGAAAGUCAGCAUGUGAAAGGACAAGGACCUAAACUGUACAUUCAGAUUUAGAAUCCAGAAGAAAGAACAAGUUUCAUGGGCCAGCUUAAGUUGGGCCAUUCUGGGUACAAACACCAAAAAGAACAAUGCCAACUAAUUGGCUGGAGUGCCAUUAGUCUGAUGCUGUUGGUGCAGAAAAUAUAGCCAGUUCUUUCCAGCUGUUCUGGAUACACGCACAAGAUAUUUUUGCUCUUGGUGAAAAAUCUCAGUUGGCCUGAUUCCAGCCACAUGGAAUGGAUUUUUGUUUUUUGGUCAACUUAGGAGAAACUUGGCCAUUUCAUCAUAAAAUACACUUAUGGAAGGUAAAUUGGUGUCUUAGUAGUUUUCUGGUAAAACAUAGGCAAAUAUUUAGGGGUUUUUUUGUGUGUGAGGAAGAUUGGCCUUAAGCUAACAUCUGUUGCCAAUCUUCCUCUUUUUGCUUGAGGAAGAUUGUCCCUGAGCUAACUUCUGUGCCAAUAUUCCUCUAUUUUGCAUGUGGGAUGCCACCACAGCAUGGCUUGAUGAGCAGUGUGUAGGUCCAUGCCUGGGAUCCAAACCCCUGAACCCCAGACCACCAAAGUAGAGGACAUGAACUUACCCAGUACGCCACCAGCUGGCCUUGUUUCAGAACCUAAGAUGAAGUUUCUUCAAAGUCACAGUUGCCAGACUCACUGGGAAUAGAAACAGAAUUCACUGAAAAGCUCCAGUCUGGGGCAUUAGGAAUAAAAAGACAAUGAAG